AUAUUUUUAAUUGUAGGAUGAUUUGAGGGGCUUUUAGAAGUUGCUUGUUGGAUCUAGAGACCAAACAAAAAUUAAAAUAGACACCAAAUCCAAAAAAAAUCAAAUAUAAAUCCACAAGCCCAAAAAAAAAAUUAAAAUCUAAUAAUAUAAAAAACAAAUGGAUGGUAGGAAAAAAUAAAGCAUUUGGCAAUCAAUUCUCAAGUCUUAACCGUCAACAAUACAUGCAAAAAAAAAACAUUGGAAACCCCCCAAAAUUUUUCAAAACCCAUUCAAAGCAUCCUUCUAAAC
rnacentral:lncRNA from 1 species